rnacentral:misc_RNA from 1 species
GAUGAAGAACGCAGCGAAAUGCGAUACUUGGUGUGAAUUGCAGAAUCCCGUGAACCAUCGAGUCUUUGAACGCAAGUUGCGCCUCAAGCCAUUAGGUUGAGGGCACGUCUGCCUGGGCGUCACAUAUCGUUGCCUGAUGCCAGUUUCCUCGUGAUGGGUGACUGUGCAGGGCGAAUGAUGGCUUCCCGUGAGCAUUGUUGCCUCAUGGUUGGUUGAAAAUUGAGUCCUUGGUAGGGAGCGCCGUGAUAGAUGGUGGUUGAGUGACGAACGAGACCCAAUCAUGUGAGACCCCUACCGAAUUUGGCCUUCAUGACCCACAUGCGUCUUUGGAACGCUCAUGACGAGACCUCAGGUCAGGCGGGGCUACCCGCUGAGUUUAAGCAUAUAAAUAAGCGGAGGA